AGUAACGGCGAGUGAAGCGGGAAGAGCUCAAAUUUAAAAUCUGGCGGUGUAUUCCGUCCGAGUUGUAGUCUAGAGAAGCAUCAUCCGUGCUGGACCAUGUACAAGUCUCUUGGAACAGAGCGUCAUAGAGGGUGAGAAUCCCGUCCUUGACAUGGACUCCCAGUGCUUUGUGUUGUGCUCUCAACGAGUCGAGUUGUUUGGGA
rnacentral:rRNA from 1 species